GUGGGGAAUAUUGGACAAUGGGCGAAAGCCUGAUCCAGCCAUGUCGCGUGUGUGAAGAAGGUCUUCGGAUUGUAAAGCACUUUAAGUUGGGAGGAAGGGUAGUAACCUAAUACGUUGCUACUUUGACGUUACCGACAGAAUAAGCACCGGCUAACUUCGUGCCAGCAGCCGCGGUAAUACGAAGGGUGCAAGCGUUAAUCGGAAUUACUGGGCGUAAAGCGCGCGUAGGUGGUUCAGUAAGUUGGAAGUGAAAUCCCCGGGCUCAACCUGGGAACUGCUUUCAAAACUGCUGAGCUAGAGUACGGUAGAGGGUGGUGGAAUUUCCUGUGUAGCGGUGAAAUGCGUAGAUAUAGGAAGGAACACCAGUGGCGAAGGCGACCACCUGGACUGAUACUGACACUGAGGUGCGAAAGCGUGGGGAGCAAACAGGAUUAGAAACCCGGGUAGUCC
rnacentral:rRNA from 1 species